UACGUAGGGCGCAAGCGUUAUCCGGAAUUAUUGGGCGUAAAGAGCUCGUAGGCGGUUUGUCGCGUCUGCCGUGAAAGUCCGGGGCUCAACUCCGGAUCUGCGGUGGGUACGGGCAGACUAGAGUGAUGUAGGGGAGACUGGAAUUCCUGGUGUAGCGGUGAAAUGCGCAGAUAUCAGGAGGAACACCGGCGGCGAAGGCGGCUUCCUGGCCCAUUACUGACGUUCAGGUACGAAAGCGUGGGUAGCAAACAGG
rnacentral:rRNA from 1 species